UACGGAGGGUGCGAGCGUUGUCCGGAAUCACUGGGCGUAAAGCGCACGUAGGCGGCUUCUUAAGUCAGGGGUGAAAUCCUGGAGCUCAACUCCAGAACUGCCUUUGAUACUGGCGAGCUUGAGUCCGGGAGAGGUGAGUGGAACUGCGAGUGUAGAGGUGAAAUUCGUAGAUAUUCGCAAGAACACCAGUGGCGAAGGCGGCUCACUGGCCCGGUACUGACGCUGAGGUGCGAAAGCGUGGGGAGCAAACAGG
rnacentral:rRNA from 1 species